UCAUCCUCACAAGUCUUAAUAUUUCUAGAAUUUUUAUUUUAGUAUAAUGGCUAACCCAUCAAUCGUUCUCUCUGAUUUGCAGGCUUGCUGCUGUUCUUCAACCGUCAAGGUCUCUGAUUUUGGGUAGCGAGCGCGGUGGAGAGCUGACGGGUGUGGCCAUACACCUGCUAAGAUUGAUUCGUGGAUUUUGAUUUUGUGCGUAAUCGACUAUGAUAUACAUCGACAACUUCGAGUGGAUGAGUAAUAGAGAUUAUAGGCUCAAACCGAAGCUGUCAAUCUUCUCUGCGGUGCCAAAAAACCCAGUCAAAUCUAGAGAACACUGUGGGGAUCUUGACAAUGGCAGAGUUGCGGAUCUCUGUUUAGAUCGGCAGUUGAUUUCCCGACAACUGAGUUGGCGCUAGCAAAGAAACAACGCAGCAGAACGAUGAAUGUGUCUCCGUCUUCUUAGAACUUUCGCAUUGGAUCUUUUUGACUAAAAAACUCUUGAUUUAAGUGAUUUGUGGUGUUGGACUUGAGGAUCUAAAGAGCAUAAACAUUAUAUCUAAAUCAAAAGAGGAGCCUGGCUAAGUGUUAAUACACGCCUUUCCUCUUCCUGGACUUGGAAACUGAUUGGUUGAUGAGGAGAAGGAAGCCAUUCUUAGAGAUGUUUAGCACCAAAGGAUUAUUGUUUUCACUGGAAGCCCAAACAAGUAUGAAAAGAAAGUUAGAUAACUGAGACCUCUUCUCUCUUCAUCUCUCAACAAGUCGAGUUGCUUUCUCAACAAUUGCUGGUAGUCCUUCAGCAUCUGGUUUAGGAAGGUCAAGCAGAAGACCAUCAGAUUCCAGUUGUUUAAGAAUGAAUCAAGCUUGCUAAAUGUAUGGUAAUUAUUCGAACAAUUGCAUACAUGUUUCUAAGUUUUUAUUUUAUGGUCGACGCUAUUUUAGUGAUUGGAGUUUAUAACUGAUGUUUCUGAAGUUUGUAACUUCAUUUGGAGUAUCUUCUAUCCUCACAGCAAAGGUUGUAUGAAAAAGCUAAAGGAAACGGAUCCUUUAAAUUUUGAAACUGUUAGAACCUGUUGUACCUUGCGGUCUCACCUGUUAGAAAGACGAUUGUAACAUGAGGAGGAGAUGUGACCUUAAGGUUCUGGAAUGUCUUACCAUCCCUGAAAUCUCAGUAUCAGGUGGGGAUCUGUGCUGAGCGUGGUCUGCUGGGUGUGACUACAUGUGCAACUAUGCUUGAAGAAAGAGUCAGAUCCAAUGCAAACCACCAAAACCAGGAUUCACUUCAACUGUCUGGGGGUAAAAGGAGAGACAAACACCAUCCGAACCAACAUGUGUGACAAGAGCAGAGGAAAAAGAGAGUUCUUCGGUAUAGAUCAGUCUACCACCUAAAUGCUGCUUUCAAUUUACGUGAUGUGGACUUCUAUUAAAAUAAACAAAAGGUUGGCCCAUUCACUUUUUUGCCUUAUGGCCUUCGACAUCUUCUUCGCGAUGAAUGGCAAUUUCGAAAUUUAGGUUUGAUCAGCAAGGUUUUCUUCGAUCUCUGUCGAACUGGCACUGGAGUUUCAUGAGGUUGCUGAGCCGAAUAUUCGGAAGGAAUCUCUUGCUCGAUCUUUGUUCGCACGUUUCGUCUUCUCCUCCAAGACGUUACGAGAUGCGAUGAUUCGUCGCCAUUAAUAACCAUCUUUACUUCUUGGACCCACGAUCAUGACGAUUAAUCAUCAUUCAAACCUAUGAAAAGUAUAAUGGCUAGCUUAAUAUAUUUUUCAAGGUGGGUACCUGAUGCAAUAACUAAAAAAAGCUAUCUAAGAUGAAAGGUCGUCGGUGAAACAUAAAGAUCGUAGAGGUGGAUUUAUAUGAUGUGAACCAGCGAGGCUGAACUCAAGAAUAAUUAUCGUCGGUGAUGGUUCCGGUUUGCACUGAGGUCAUCUCGGAUCAUAUAAAGAAACCUUGCUCUCUCUCUCUCUCUCUCUCUCUCUCUCUCUCUCUUGCUACAAAGAAGAAAACUUGAAGAUGCGUUUAGCGCAUCAGAUAUGAGUCGCCCAAGGUUCAUGUAGAUGUCAGCACAAGAGUCUGGGGCAGAGGAAGAAGAGAAUCAAUAGUGGAGCAAAUAUGGUGUUCUAGCAAGUGAAAGAAAAAGUUAAGAAGAUCAAGAACAGUCUAACCAAAGUGGUCAUUACCACGAUCAUGAUGUGUAUGAAGAAGGAUACAACGAGCAAGAAUCAGAGUGGCACGCGUAUACUCACGGCGGUUGACAGGUCAACCUGAGUCACUGAGUCAUCCAUGGGAAGCUAAUUUUCGGCACCACCGGCGAUCGUUCCACCAGGGACAAAAGGUUUUCCGUUGGUGUCUUCGAUUAUACUAAACGUCUUGAACCUGAGCCACUACGAGAUACCUAUUAUGGACUCGAAAGGACAGAUAAUUUGGAGAGGGACAUGAGAAGAGAGGCACCGUCUAAUCCUCUUAAACUGCACGACAUGUCGGAGAGGAAUAGAAGAUUGAGGCUUAUCAGAUGCAAAUAAACACGCAUGUGUCUUUGUUAUCCUCAACAAAGGAUGUGAUGAGGACGUGAUGUUUUCUUAAUCUCUUGGUGGAUGUUGCAGGCAAAAUUUUGUCAAAAGUCUAAAGCUGUUUGUGAAUUGGCUUGAAGAGGCAGAUGAACAAAAAAAUAUGAAGUAUCUUCUUCGUUUUGCUCUGUAAUUUAGUCUUAUCUAAAACAAAUAAUUUUAGAGUCUGUCUUUCAACUCUUGCUUUCUAAUAUUAUUUUGUUGCAUUUA